rnacentral:rRNA from 1 species
AGCAGCCGCGGUAAUUCCAGCUCCAAUAGCGUAUAUUAAAGUUGUUGCAGUUAAAAAGCUCGUAGUUGAACUUCGGGGUCUACCCAUUGGUCAGGCUUAAUUGUCUGCACUGGUGAGAUGGAUCUCUACCUUCUGAGGAACUUUCAUGCCAUUUAUCUGGUGUGGUGGGAAAUCAGGACUGUUACUUUGAAAAAAUUAGAGUGUUUAAAGCAGACUAUCGUCUGAAUACAUUAGCAUGGAAUAAUGGAAUAGGACGGACUGAUUCUAUUUCGUUGGUUUCUAGGAUCACCGUAAUGAUUAAUAGGGAUAGUUGGGGGCAUUAGUAUUCAAUUGUCAGAGGUGAAAUUCUUGGAUUUAUUGAAGACUAACUACUGCGAAAGCAUUUGCCAAGGAUGUUUUCAUUAAUCAAGAACGUAAGUUAGGGGAUCGAAGACGAUCAGAUACCGUCGUAGUCUUAACCAUAAACUAUGCCGACUAGGGAUCGGACGAAGUUAAUUUUAUAAUGACGCG